rnacentral:rRNA from 1 species
CCUACGGGAGGCAGCAGUAAGGAAUAUUGGUCAAUGGACGCAAGUCUGAACCAGCCAUGCCGCGUGAAGGAUUAAGGUCCUCUGGAUUGUAAACUUCUUUUAUUUGGGACGAAAAAAGGGCCUUUCUAGGUCAACUGACGGUACCAGAUGAAUAAGCACCGGCUAACUCCGUGCCAGCAGCCGCGGUAAUACGGAGGGUGCAAGCGUUAUCCGGAUUCACUGGGUUUAAAGGGUGCGUAGGCGGGUAGGUAAGUCAGUGGUGAAAUCCUGGAGCUCAACUCCAGAACUGCCAUUGAUACUAUUUAUCUUGAAUAUUGUGGAGGUAAGCGGAAUAUGUCAUGUAGCGGUGAAAUGCUUAGAUAUGACAUAGAACACCUAUUGCGAAGGCAGCUUACUACGCAUAUAUUGACGCUGAGGCACGAAAGCGUGGGGAUCAAACAGGAUUAGAUACCCUGGUAGUCCACGCCCUAAACUAUGAUUACUCGACAUUUGUGAUACACAAUAAGUGUCUGAGCGAAAGCAUUAAGUAAUCCACCUGGGAAGUACGUCCGCAAGGAUUGAAACUCAAAGAGUUAGUGCGGNGNGAGAGCGACGACGACGACGACGGAGGAGGAGG